CGAGACAGUGAAUAUAAUGAAAUACAUGAAAUAUAGCGAGAUACACCGAAAUACAAUGAAAAAAAGACAAUGAAUAUGCUGAAAUACAUGGAAAUACAACGAGAUAUAUUGAAAUACACUUAAAAAGAUAAUAGAAUCUUCGAGUUGCUCAGCCCCAAACUCCGUCUUCUUUGUUCAAGAACAACCCUAAUGUCGUCUCAUCGAGAGAGCCACGAUUUUGACUCGACAGUACCAACAAGUGGAAUCUGGCGAAAAUCAGGACACGAAAAACCGAACUCGGCAUCGAAAGUGCCGGCGGCGACGUCGAGGUCGGAGAGAAAACCCUCGUUCAUGAAACUUCCAGAAUCGCUAUCGAUCUGAGAAGAAUCUAGAAGGAAGUUAUGUUAGGGUUUAUGAAAUCAUUGUCCCUGUUGCUACUCGCCAUUACUGAGUGGACUGAGGGAGUAUUAAUGGUGUGUUUCAACUUUUAAUUAACUUUGACCUAUGGGAUACUGAAAUG
rnacentral:lncRNA from 1 species